GGCGUCCUAGCUCAGUUGGUUAGAGCGACAGGCUGUUAACCUGUAGGUCAUCGGUUCGAAUCCGAUGGAUGCCG
rnacentral:tRNA from 1 species